AGAGUUUGAUCCUGGCUCAGGAUGAACGCUGGCGGUGUGCUUAACACAUGCAAGUCGAGCGAAGCACUUUUUUUGAAGUUUUCGGACGGAAAGAGAGGUGACUGAGCGGCGAACGGGUGAGUAACGCGUGGGUAACCUGCCUCAUACAGGGGAAUAACAGUUAGAAAUGACUGCUAAAGCCGCAUAAGCGCACAGUGCCGCAUGGUACAGUGUGAAAAACUCCGGUGGUAUGAGAUGGACCCGCGUCUGAUUAGCUGGUUGGUGAGGUAACGGCCCACCAAGGCGACGAUCAGUAGCCGACUUAAGAGAGUGAUCGGCCACAUUGGGACUGAGACACGGCCCAGACCCCUACGGGAGGCAGCAGUGGGGAAUAUUGCACAAUGGGGGAAACCCUGAUGCAGCAACGCCGCGUGAGUGAGGAAGUAUUUCGGUAUGUAAAGCUCUAUCAGCAGGGAAGAAAACGACGGUACCUGAAUAAGAAGCCCCGGCUAACUACGUGCCAGCAGCCGCGGUAAUACGUAGGGGGCAAGCGUUAUCCGGAUUUACUGGGUGUAAAGGGAGUGUAGGCGGCGAUACAAGUCAGAAGUGAAAGCCCGAUGCUUAACGACGGGACUGCUUUUGAAACUGUAUGGCUGGAUUGCAGGAGAGGUAAGCGGAAUUCCUGGUGUAGCGGUGAAAUGCGUAGAUAUCAGGAGGAACACCGGUGGCGAAGGCGGCUUACUGGACUGUAAAUGACGCUGAGGCUCGAAGGCGUGGGGAGCAAACAGGAUUAGAUACCCUGGUAGUCCACGCAGUAAACG
rnacentral:rRNA from 1 species